CCUUGAACUUUAAACUUAUUUUAAAUUUAAAGAAGUUUAAUUUAUUUUUGUUUUUCUAUAAGAAGUGUUCUUUUGUACAAUUUUAUUUGUUUGCUAUUAUUUGUUUUGUGAUUUUAUUUUUCUAUGACAGGUAGUUGUUUAAGAGCUCUGGUUUAAGAGUUUAAGAGUAUAUAUAUUUUAACCUUGUAUAUAGAAGGAACUAAAAAUGCACUUUGUUGUGGGAUGUAAAAAUUGCACAAGAGUAAAAGGGAAAGUUUCAUUUCACACUUUCCCUAAGAAUGCUGAUCUGCAACAGAGAUGGCUUCAUGUUAUUGGUAGAGAUCCAAAUAUGCGUAUUAUAUACCGUAGAGUUUGAUCAGAACACUUUGUAGAAAGUGAUAUUGAUAAAUCUGGGAAUAAGCUUUUACUAGUUCCAAAUGCAGCACCCAGUAGAAACUUAUCAAUUGUUCCUCCUUUAAACUGUCGCAGUAAGAAAAAUGAAAAUUGUUAUCCACCAAAUAUUAUUAAUGAGAUACUUGUGCCAUAUAUUGGUGGUAGAAAUAAUAAUAUAGUUGAUGAACCUUCAAUUAGUGGACUAAUAACAGAUCAUAUUUAUAGUAAAACAGCUAUAAGAGUUAAUUCUCCAUCUUCUGAAAUCAAAAAAUGUCCACCUAAAGCUUCGCCAUCAGAAAAAAAUAGUAUGAUAAUUGUUGAUCACACUUAUUAUAGUAUACCUAUCAUCUAAGCCUGUGCAGAUUGAGGAUCAGAUAGAUCUGCUAAAGGAAAAAAAAAUAUAUUCUUACAAACUAAAUUGAAAACUCUCAGGAGAACAAUUGUAAGAAAGGACAAGAAAAUUGCUUCAUUGAAGCAAAUUAUUAAUGAACUUAAGAAAGAAAAAAGACAUUUUUGAUUCUGAAUUUAAAAAAUCUAUUUGGAAAAGGAGUUAGGAAGCAAUACUUUCUUGAUGACUGUAUAUAACAGAGGUUUCUCUAAUGUCAAUUAUCUACUACCGUAUAAGUUUAUCAGCAUUAUUUGGUAUUACUUAUUUGAUUUUUAGGAUCAGAGAUAGAGUAACAACAAUCUGAGCUGACUGAUUACUGCACUUUUUUACACUAUUACAUAGGUAUUUCUCAUUUAUGUUGACAAUAAAAAUAUGGGAAAGUGCUUUUCUAAAGACAAUACAGGUGUAAUAAGUGAGAAGAAAAUCUUAAAUUUAAUUAAAAAAAAUUAUACUCUAAAUUAUUUUUCUCAA
rnacentral:lncRNA from 1 species